GCCGCCAUUUUACGACUAUAUAAUAAUGUUAUGUGUAUAUGAAUUUUUCCCACUUAAUUUUGUCGUUGAUAAAUGUUGGUAUGGCAUACCCAUUAUAAUAUGUAGUGCCUUAUAUGAAAUAACGUAUUGUUAUGGGCUACGAAAUCAUUGAGGUUAUCCUGUAGCGUCCAACAGUGAAGGGUGAAACAUGGCGUCGUGACGCCGACCUAAGUCCGGACCGGUAAUGAAGGCAGACUCCGCGUCCAGAGUUCCAGAAGAUGCAGGGGAAAACGUACCUUCAUGAUCGUAUUCUCGUGGCUAAUGACAAAAGAACACGGGAUGGCCACAAUUCUACGAAUCCGAGAAAUCUAUGAAACCAGCUAUGCGCCUGUACUACGCAGGCUGCUUAAAAGUCAUGACCAUACUUAUUUUAAGCUAAAUGAUAUUAACUAGUAUUCAUUUAAUAAUAUUCACAAUCGCGAGCACAGCUACAAGCAUUUUGACGAAAACAACAACCUUCCACAACAACAGUUGCAAGGACGAAUUUCUUUGGACACAAGCGCUACGAUCUCCAGUUCAAGAUAAUAGAAUAAGAACACUACCUAUAAGGGAGCCAGGAGUACAGCAUAUUCAGAUGUUGGCUUGCAUAGCCGUUGAGACCUGAGCACCUUCUCGCCACUCGUACCCACAUGACUUGCAUAGCUUGCCAAAAAAAAAUCGAAUGGUCACAAUAAAAUUCCACGUGUCCGAGAAAUCUAUAAAACCAGGUAUAUCUAUAUUCUAUACCCAGGAUUCUUGUCAGCAUAAUCAAAUGUCGGAUGGCAUAGCCAUUGAGAACUGAGCACCUCUCGCCACUCGUACCGAUAUGACUUGAAUAGAAAUUGUCUUCAGCUAUUUAUGUGAAAACCGCAAUUGUAUGGAUCUCAAGCAGUGCUCAUACAACAACUGGUGCAGUCAAUAAAGGAUUUUUAAAGACGAGGCAACCAUAAAAGGCACACUGUUGACACGGAAGACCUGCAAUAUUCCUCGUCAAAAUUUCUGGAAAUGGAACCAAAAACAACAACAUUGCAGCACCGUCACAAUCAACAUAUCAUCAUUGAAGAACCUUGCAUUUUGUGAGUGAAUAGCACGGUUUAAGAUAUACUGGUUACGCAACUGAUACGUAAAAUAAUACGAAUUUGUGGCCCCUUCCGUUAUGUUCAGUUUAGGCUCCUAAAUGCAUGUAGAACUAAUAUUGAG